GACGAACGCUGGCGGCGUGCUUAACACAUGCAAGUCGAACGGAAAGGCCCUGCUUUUGUUUCGUUCUUGUUUGGCGAACGGGUGAGUGACACGUGAGUAACCUGCCCUUGACUGUGUGAUAACUUCAGGAAACUGGGGCUAUUAUCGGAUAGGAUCUCCUGCUCCACGUUGUUGGUUGGUAAGUGUCGGCGGUGGGGGAUGGACUCGCUGCUUACGAGCUGGUUUGUCUGGUAGUUGCUGACCAAGCCUUUGACGGGUCGGCGGCAUGAGAGGGUGACCGGCCACCUUGCGCCUACGAUACGGACCAGAAGCGUACGGGAGGCAGCAGGCGGGAACAUUGCAGAAUGGGCGGAAGCCUGAUGCAGAAAUGCUCCGAGCGGGAUACCCGCCUUCGGGUUGUAAACCGCUUUCGCAGGUGACGAAGCGUGAGUGACGGUAAUGGGUAAAGAAGCACCGGCUAACUACGUG
rnacentral:rRNA from 1 species